rnacentral:misc_RNA from 1 species
GAUGAAGAACGUAGCGAAAUGCGAUAAGUAAUGUGAAUUGCAGAAUUCAGUGAAUCAUCGAACCUUUGAACGCAUCUUGCGCUCCUUGGUAUUCUGAGGAGCAUGCCUGUUUGGGUGUCAUUAAAUUCUCAACUACACUGACUUUGAAUUGGUGUGGCUUGGAUUUGGGGGGAAAAUUGUUGUGGGCUUUUUGUAUAGUCUGCUCCCCUGAAAUUGAUUAGCGGUACCUUUGUGGAACUGUCUACAGGUGUGAUAAUUAUCUACAUCUUAGACAUCUGCUGGAAUGCUGCUUUCUAAACCUUACUUGUAUUGACAAUCUUGACCUCAAAUCAGGUAGGACUACCCGCUGAACUUAAGCAUAUCAAUAAGCGGAGGA